ACUGAAGAGGCUCUGCUCAGCUGUGGGGCCACAGAAGGCAGGAUCAGUGAUGACUUGCACCAUGACCUGGUCCCCUCUCCUUCUCACGCUCCUCAUUCACUGCACAGGGUCCUGGGCCCAGUCUGUGCUGACUCAGCCACCCUCCGUGUCUGGGACCCUGAGUGGGAGGGUCACCAUCUCCUGCACUGGAAGCAGCAACAAUAUUGGAGGUUAUGGUGUAAGCUGGCAACAACAGCUCCCAGGAAAAGCCCCUAGAACCAUUAUCUAUGCUAAUACCUAUCGACCUUCAGGGGUUCCAGAUCGAUUCUCUGGCUCCAAGUCUGGCAGCACUGCUACCCUGACCAUCACUGGACUCCAGGCUGAGGACGAGGCCGAGUAUUACUGUGCAACAUGGGACAAUAGUCUCAGAGCUCACACAGUGUCACAGGCCUGUGGGGAAGUGAGACAAAAACCUACUUACCCAUUUGCAAAGUGA